GCAAACUGCGAAUACCGGAGAAUGUUAUCACGGGAGACACACGGCGGGUGCUAACGUCCGUCGUGAAGAGGGAAACAACCCAGACCGCCAGCUAAGGUCCCAAAGUCAUGGUUAAGUGGGAAACGAUGUGGGAAGGCCCAGACAGCCAGGAUGUUGGCUUAGAAGCAGCCAUCAUUUAAAGAAAGCGUAAUAGCUCACUGGUCGAGUCGGCCUGCGCGGAAGAUGUAACGGGGCUAAACCAUGCACCGAAGCUGCGGCAGCGACACUAUGUGUUGUUGGGUAGGGGAGCGUUCUGUAAGCCUGUGAAGGUGGCCUGUGAGGGUUGCUGGAGGUAUCAGAAGUGCGAAUGCUGACAUAAGUAACGAUAAAGCGGGUGAAAAGCCCGCUCGCCGGAAGACCAAGGGUUCCUGUCCAACGUUAAUCGGGGCAGGGUGAGUCGACCCCUAAGGCGAGGCCGAAAGGCGUAGUCGAUGGGAAACAGGUUAAUAUUCCUGUACUUGGUGUUACUGCGAAGGGGGGACGGAGAAGGCUAUGUUGGCCGGGCGACGGUUGUCCCGGUUUAAGCGUGUAGGCUGGUUUUCCAGGCAAAUCCGGAAAACCAAGGCUGAGGCGUGAUGACGAGGCACUACGGUGCUGAAGCGACAAAUGCCCUGCUUCCAGGAAAAGCCUCUAAGCAUCAGGUAACAUCAAAUCGUACCCCAAACCGACACAGGUGGUCAGGUAGAGAAUACCAAGGCGCUUGAGAGAACUCGGGUGAAGGAACUAGGCAAAAUGGUGCCGUAACUUCGGGAGAAGGCACGCUGAUAUGUAGGUGAAGCGACUUGCUCGUGGAGCUGAAAUCAGUCGAAGAUACCAGCUGGCUGCAACUGUUUAUUAAAAACACAGCACUGUGCAAACACGAAAGUGGACGUAUACGGUGUGACGCCUGCCCGGUGCCGGAAGGUUAAUUGAUGGGGUUAGCGGUAACGCGAAGCUCUUGAUCGAAGCCCCGGUAAACGGCGGCCGUAACUAUAACGGUCCUAAGGUAGCGAAAUUCCUUGUCGGGUAAGUUCCGACCUGCACGAAUGGCGUAAUGAUGGCCAGGCUGUCUCCACCCGAGACUCAGUGAAAUUGAACUCGCUGUGAAGAUGCAGUGUACCCGCGGCAAGACGGAAAGACCCCGUGAACCUUUACUAUAGCUUGACACUGAACAUUGAGCCUUGAUGUGUAGGAUAGGUGGGAGGCUUUGAAGUGUGGACGCCAGUCUGCAUGGAGCCGACCUUGAAAUACCACCCUUUAAUGUUUGAUGUUCUAACGUUGGCCCGUAAUCCGGGUUGCGGACAGUGUCUGGUGGGUAGUUUGACUGGGGCGGUCUCCUCCUAAAGAGUAACGGAGGAGCACGAAGGUUGGCUAAUCCUGGUCGGACAUCAGGAGGUUAGUGCAAUGGCAUAAGCCAGCUUGACUGCGAGCGUGACGGCGCGAGCAGGUGCGAAAGCAGGUCAUAGUGAUCCGGUGGUUCUGAAUGGAAGGGCCAUCGCUCAACGGAUAAAAGGUACUCCGGGGAUAACAGGCUGAUACCGCCCAAGAGUUCAUAUCGACGGCGGUGUUUGGCACCUCGAUGUCGGCUCAUCACAUCCUGGGGCUGAAGUAGGUCCCAAGGGUAUGGCUGUUCGCCAUUUAAAGUGGUACGCGAGCUGGGUUUAGAACGUCGUGAGACAGUUCGGUCCCUAUCUGCCGUGGGCGCUGGAGAACUGAGGGGGGCUGCUCCUAGUACGAGAGGACCGGAGUGGACGCAUCACUGGUGUUCGGGUUGUCAUGCCAAUGGCACUGCCCGGUAGCUAAAUGCGGAAGAGAUAAGUGCUGAAAGCAUCUAAGCACGAAACUUGC
rnacentral:rRNA from 1 species